UACGUAGGGGGCAAGCGUUGUCCGGAAUUAUUGGGCGUAAAGAGCGCGUAGGCGGUCCGAUAAGUCGGCUGUGAAAGUCAAGGGCUCAACCCUUGAAGGCCGGCCGAUACUGUCGGACUAGAGUCCGGAAGAGGCGAGUGGAAUUCCCGGUGUAGCGGUGAAAUGCGCAGAUAUCGGGAGGAACACCAAUGGCGAAGGCAGCUCGCUGGGACGGUACUGACGCUGAGGCGCGAAAGCGUGGGGAGCGAACAGG
rnacentral:rRNA from 1 species